rnacentral:rRNA from 1 species
GACGAACGCUGGCGGCGUGCUUAACACAUGCAAGUCGAACGGAAAGGCCCUGCUCUUGCGGCGUGCUCGAGUGGCGAACGGGUGAGUAACACGUGUGUAACCUGCCCUUGACUUUCUGAUAACAUCACGGAACUCGGGCUAAUACCGGAUAGGAUCUCCUGCUGCAUGGUGGGGGUUGGAAAGUGUCGGCUGUUGGGGAUGGACUCGCGGCUUAUCAGCUUGUUGGGGGGGUAGGGACAUACCAAGGCUUUGACGGGUAGCCGGCCUGAGAGGGUUGCCGGCCACAUUAGGCCUGAGAGAGGGCCCAGACUAGAAUGGUAGGCAGCGGUGGGGAGUAUUGCACAGUGGGGGGAAGUCAGAUGUGAAAAUGCCGCGUGCGGGAAGACCGGCUUCGAGCUGUAAACCGCUGUGGACUGAGAUGAAGCGUUAGUGACGGUAAUGGGUAAAGAAGCACCGGCUAACUACGUG